rnacentral:lncRNA from 1 species
UAAUCCCAGCACUUUGGGAGGCUGAGGCGGGCGGAUCACGAGGUCAGGAGAUCGAGACCAUCCUGGCUAACACGGCGAAACCCCGUCUCUACUAAAAAUACAAAAAAUUAGCCGGGCGCGGUGGCGGGCGCCUGUAGUCCCAGCUACUCGGGAGGCUGAGGCAGGAGAAUGGCGGGAACCCGGGAGGCGGAGCUUGCAGUGAGCCGAGGUCGUGCCACUGCACUCCAGCCUGGGCGACAGCGAGACUCCGAAUCAACAAAAAAAAAAAAAAAAAAAAAAAUCAGGUGAUUUUCACUGGAAAUGAAUAGACUGAUGAUAAAUCCUGGGCG